GCCUGCCUCGCUGUCCUGAGGUUUAAGGAAGAUGAUGCCUAUACAGUGACUUGCAUGGUAUUUGUUACUCAGUGGGGUACUCAAUAAAUGUUUUGCUCCCCACACCAGUGUCUCUCUUCAUACAGGCAUGUAAUCCAUACAUGGAAACUCACAGCCAGUAUCAUUUCAGAAUUCAGAAUUUCCGUAUUCAUAAUACCUGCAUUGGGUCUGAGGCAGCACGCUAUAAAUUACAUUAAUAUACUUCAGUGAUACGUCUGAAUACAUGGCAUAUGCUUAAAAAGUGGAAUAAAGUCUAUAAAUGGCUUCAAAUCAGUCUGGUCAGAUUUGCUAUCAAACAAGUGUUGCAAAAUUCUCAAAGAGCUUUCUGUUUUCAGAGUCCUUGGGGCUUUAGAACCAUGGCUAAGGGCCUGUGGACCUGUGUUGCAUUUAUUGUUAAAGACGUCGCAUCCCCACCAGAUAUUAAGGUCAGGUUUAGCGUUUGGUUUCCUGAGUGCCUGCCUCACAGCAGAAAAACAAUAACCGCUUUGAAAGGACUGAGUAAUGGAGGAAAGGAUUCUGCUCCUCAGACAGAUUUGGAAAAUAGCACUACUUGGUGAGAUCGCAUUUAGGAAAAAAGAUGAUGUGAGAAACCUGAGCUUCCCUUUGGUCUCUGAAUCCCUGGCAGCGCCAUUUUGUCACAACGUCAAUGUCAUGUGUGCUCUCCAUCUUUUUGUGUUGACGUUUUCUCUCUCAGUUAACAAUGGUGGACUGAGAGCAGGUGGCUUUCCCCUCUCCCCUCAGCUCCACGAGAAAGACAAUAAGGUGAUUUUUUUUAAACGUAUAAAUCUGCAAGAACAAAGAGAACCACAGAGGAAAAGAAAGCAGCAAAAGGUUGGAAGCCGGAAGGCAAAAAGAUGA
rnacentral:lncRNA from 1 species